rnacentral:rRNA from 1 species
GACGAACGCUGGCGGCGUGCCUAAUACAUGCAAGUCGAACGAAGCUUUUUUAGCUGGUGCUUGCACCGACUUAAACAACUGAGUGGCGAACGGGUGAGUAACACGUGGGUAACCUGCCCCAAAGCGGGGGAUAACAUUUGGAAACAGAUGCUAAUACCGCAUAACCACAGAAACCACAUGGUUUCUGUGUCAAAGAUGGUUUCGGCUAUCACUUUGGGAUGGACCCGCGGCGUAUUAGCUAGUUGGUAAGGUAAUGGCUUACCAAGGCAAUGAUACGUAGCCGACCUGAUAGGUUGAUCCGCCACAUUGGGACUGAGACACGGCCCAAACUCCUCCGGGAGGCAGCAGUAGGGAAUCUUCCACAAUGGACGAAAGUCUGAUGGAGCAACGCCGCGUGAGUGAAGAAGGUUUUCGGAUCGUAAAACUCUGUUGUCAGAGAAGAACGUGUGCGAGAGUAACUGUUCGUGCAGUGACGGUAUCUGGCCAGAAAGCCACGGCUAACUACGUGCCAGCCGCCGCCGUAA